AUGGGAAAGUGGAUUUGGUGUUUGAUGCCCAAGAGCAGACUUAAUGUUCAUAGGGAGAAGUGCAUGCAUGAAAUAGAGUACGGCUAUGUGGGCAAUCUGUUAAGGGAUAACCGUCGAUCAUCACGUUGCGGCAACACGGCGAUGAUAAGGUUGCUCCGGUCAGAUGACAACAGGGUGGUGUACGAGGUGAUAGUAAGAGACGAAGGACUGGAAUUUGAGUGUGAGUGCGGACAAUUUGAGCACACAGGGAUGUUAUGCUGCCAUGUACUAAGGGUGAUGGAUGUUCUCCACUUGGAGGAGGAUCCCGCAAAGCACAUCGUGAAGGAUGGACCAAAGACGCAAGGAUCAUACUGCCCGCGCACCUCGUUCAUUACCAGAAAAAACAGUCGGUAA
rnacentral:rRNA from 1 species